UACGGGGGGAGCAAGCGUUGUUCGGAUUUACUGGGCGUAAAGGGCGCGUAGGCGGCACUGCAAGUCGACUGUGAAAUCUCCGGGCUUAACUCGGAAAGGUCAGCCGAUACUGCGGGGCUAGAGUGCAGAAGGGGCAACUGGAAUUCUCGGUGUAGCGGUGAAAUGCGUAGAUAUCGAGAGGAACACCUGCGGCGAAGGCGGGUUGCUGGGCUGACACUGACGCUGAAGUGCGAAAGCUAGGGGAGCGAACGGG
rnacentral:rRNA from 1 species